CAGUCCACCUCCUCGCGUUCACUGCGUCGCCAUUAUGUGUCCUUGUCCUUCAUAAGGCACGCGGUGAAUGCCAAGAGCGGACUC
rnacentral:pre_miRNA from 1 species